UUAACUUAAUUUUGUAUGGAGUUGGAAUAAGUUUCCUUCCUUUGCCACUAGGAGCGCUUUUCCAACUCCAUACAAAUUUGAGUUA
rfam:Bombyx mori DNA, contig: Bm_scaf19_contig13989, strain: p50T/Dazao, build 2, whole genome shotgun sequence.